CUGCUCAUAGCUCAGUUGCUAGGCCACAAGACUCUUAAUCUAAGGGUUGUGGGUUCAAGCCCCAAGUUGGGCAAA